rnacentral:rRNA from 1 species
GAUGAACGCUGGCGGCGUGCCUAAUACAUGCAAGUCGAGCGAACAGACGAGGAGCUUGCUCCUCUGACGUUAGCGGCGGACGGGUGAGUAACACGUGGAUAACCUACCUAUAAGACUGGGAUAACUUCGGGAAACCGGAGCUAAUACCGGAUAAUAUAUUGAACCGCAUGGUUCAAUAGUGAAAGACGGUUUUGCUGUCACUUAUAGAUGGAUCCGCGCCGCAUUAGCUAGUUGGUAAGGUAACGGCUUACCAAGGCAACGAUGCGUAGCCGACCUGAGAGGUGGUUCGGCCACCUUGAAACGGGGACACGGUCAGACUCCUACGGGAGGCAGCAGCAGGGAAUCUUCCGCAAUGGGCGAAAGCUUGACGGAGCAACGCCGCGUGAGUGAUGAAGGUCUUCGGAUCGUAAAACUCUGUUAUUAGGGAAGAACAAAUGUGUAAGUAACUAUGCACGUCUUGACGGUACCUAAUCAGAAAGCCACGGCUAACUACGUG